UACGGAGGGUGCAAGCGUUAUCCGGAAUCACUGGGUUUAAAGGGUGCGUAGGCGGAUAUUUAAGUCAGUGGUGAAAUCUUGUCGCUUAACGAUAAAAUUGCCAUUGAUACUGAAUGUCUUGAAUUGGGUUGAGGUUAGCGGAAUGUGACAUGUAGCGGUGAAAUGCAUAGAUAUGUCAUGGAACACCAAUUGCGAAGGCAGCUAGCUGGGCCUUGAUUGACGCUGAGGCACGAAAGCGUGGGUAGCGAACAGGAUUAGAAACCCGAGUAGUCC
rnacentral:rRNA from 1 species